CCUACGGGUGGCAGCAGUGGGGAAUAUUCCACAAUGAGGGAAACCCUGAUGCAGCGACGCAGCGUGCAUGAAGAAGUACUUCGGUAUGUAAAGCUCUAUCAGAAGGGAAGAAAAUGACAGUACCUGAACCAGAAGCCACGGCUAACUACGUGCCAGCAGCCGCGGUCAUACGUAGGGGGGAAGCGUUCUCCGGAUUUACUGGGUUGAGAGGGAUCGUAGACGGUUAUGUAAGACUGGAGUUAAAGCCCGGGGCCCAACCCCGGGAGUGCUUUGGAUACUGUGUAAGUAGAGUACAGGAGGGGCAGGCGGAAUUCCUGGUGUAGCGGUGAAAUGCGUAGAUAUCAGGAGGAACACCGGCGGCGAAGGCGGCCUGCUGGACUGAAACUGACGUUGAGGCUCGAAAGCGUGGGGAGCAAACAGGAUUAGAUACCCUUGUAGUC
rnacentral:rRNA from 1 species